AUUGAACGCUGGCGGCAGGCCUAACACAUGCAAGUCGAACGAGUGGCGGACGGGUGAGUAAUGUCUGGGAACCUGCCCGAUGGCGGGGGAUAACUACUGGAAACGGUAGCUAAUACCGCAUACCCUCGGAUGUGCCCAGAUGGGAUUGGCUCGUAGGUGGGGUAACGGCUCACCUAGGCGUCGAUCCCUAGCUGGUCUGAGAGGAUGACCGGCCACACUGGAACUGGGACACGGUCCAGACUCCUACGGGAGGCAGCAGUGGGGAAGAUUGCACAAUGGGCGCAAGCCUGAUGCAGCCAUGCCGCGUGUAGGAAGAAGGCCUUCGGGUUGUAAAGUACUUUCAGCGGGGAGGCGUUACCCGCAGAAGAAGCACCGGCUAACUCCGUGCCAGCAGCCGCGGUAAUUC
rnacentral:rRNA from 1 species